rnacentral:rRNA from 1 species
AGGGUUUGAUCCUGGCUCAGAUUGAACGCUGGCGGCAGGCCUAACACAUGCAAGUCGAACGGUAACAUUUCUAGCUUGCUAGAAGAUGACGAGUGGCGGACGGGUGAGUAAUGCUUGGGAACUUGCCUUUAGGAGGGGGAUAACAGUUGGAAACGACUGCUAAUACCGCAUAAUGUCUACGGACCAAAGGGGGCUUCGGCUCUCACCUAAAGAGAGGCCCAAGUGAGAUUAGCUAGUUGGUAAGGUAAAGGCUUACCAAGGCGACGAUCUCUAGCUGUUCUGAGAGGAAGAUCAGCCACACUGGGACUGAGACACGGCCCAGACUCCUACGGGAGGCAGCAGUGGGGAAUAUUGCACAAUGGGGGAAACCCUGAUGCAGCCAUGCCGCGUGUGUGAAGAAGGCCUUCGGGUUGUAAAGCMCUUUCAGUUGUGAGGAAAGGUUGGUAGUUAAUACCUGCCAGCUGUGACGUUAACAACAGAAGAAGCACC